AAAAAAAAGGAGAAAAGAAAAGGUCAUUCUAGGCACAACUCCAAACCUAAAAUCUAUAACAGAAAAUACUCAUAAAUUUGACUAUGUACACAUUUUAAAUUUUAUAGAGAAAAACAUACCACAAGCAAUGUCCAAAGAUAAACAACAGGGCUUCCCUGGUGGCGCAGUGGUUGAGAGUCUGCCUGCCGAUGCAGGGGACACGGGUUCGUGCCCCGGUUCAGGAAGAUCCCACAUCCCGCGGAGUGGCUGGGCCCGUGAGCCAUGGCCGCUGAGCCUGCACGUCCGGAGCCUGUGCUCCGCAAUGGGAGAGACCACAGCAGUGAGAGGCCUGCGUACCGCAAAAAAAAAAAAAAAAAAGAUAAACAACAAACCUGAGAAAAAUGUUUGUAACACAUAUCAGAAAAUGAGCUUAUUUCUUUAACAUUUAAAGAACUCUUAGAAAUCAGUAUGAAGAAGAUAAACACUCCAAUAAAAUAUGGGUAGACAUGGAUCAUCAAUUCCCAGAACCUAAAUACAAGGAGAUUCACUGCAGCCUUGUUUAUAAUAGCCAAAUCCUAGAAAUAAAAGUUCUUCAAUGACAUGACUUAUUAACUAAAUAUGAUAACAGCUGUUAAAAAGAAUGAAGUAGAGAUACAUAUAUUGAUAUGGAAAGAUGUUCACAUGUCCAAAAUAAUAGUUUUAAGUUAAAGAUACCCAGCAGGUUGCAUAACAGUGUUUACUAUAAUCCCAUUUGUAUAUAUAUCAAUCUGGAAGGAUAUACAAGUUAAUGGUUAACUCUGGGGAUUAGGACUGGAAUUUAAAAGGAUAAUUUUAGUUCUGUGUUGUUUGAAUUUACAUUAUAUUAUUUUUUAAAUAAUCUUAAACAUGACUUAAAUAAAUAAAUAUGAAGGCAAAUUUUGGUAAAGCCUCAAACUGUGUAAUGAAAAUGGAACAGAAGAACAGAUACAUCACGCAUUGAGAAAGAAUAAUCCACAAGGCUUAGUCCUGAAUUGGUAUAGGGUGACGGAAUUGUAUCCUUGCGUCCUGGGUCUCAUAUUCUUUAACCAUCUGUGUCAAUCUGGGAAGCAGGCACUCAGCCAGAGUUGGGCGUGCAAGAAGUGUAUUGAGGAGUAAGGGCUGUGAAAGGUCGAUGGGGAGGGAGCCAGACUGGGGAGGGAGCCUUCAGACUGUGGUGCUAUUCUGACACCUAGAGAAGGCAAAGAAGUGAAGAAGGACUAGGCAGGGAGAGACUCCAAACUCAUGCAGGUCAGACAGAGCCAAUCCAACGUGAGCUCUAGAGCAAAUACGCCUAUUACAGGAGACUUGUUUUAGGCAGAGAUGGCCAGACCCUCUGACCUCAACCAUGCUCAGCAGUUGGCUGGGGGCUGCCAGAGGAGCAUGGCCUCGCCUUCUGCACUGUUGAAGAUCUCAAAGGUCCAGCAGCUGGGGGCUCUUAGUUCCAGGACUCCUUGCAUCAGAGCAGCAAGUUAUUUCUUAAAGGGAGAGCAGGUCAACACUUCCUUAGCUGCCAGAGUCCAGAUCCACUUCAUAUAUGUUCAAAGAGUAUCUCUUCCGGGUUGCCAGUGGGCCUCUCUUUGGGAGAGGAAAUUUAGAAGAAUGACACACUACAGCCCCUGUUGCUGCAUUUGGUCUCAGGGCUGCAAGUGAUACUCACACUCUCCCUCCUCUCCUAUCUGUCCCAAAUUCCCCUUGCCCUCAGCUCUCACCUCUACUGGUCUCAAUGACUUAUCUGGUGACGUUACCCAAAUCCUCAUUCCUGAGGUAUCUGAGCCUCUGAUAACCAUCCCUUUCUCAGGCCCUUGUCUGUUCACUAUCAAAACUGGGCAGGGAAGUACCAGAAUGGGGAUGCUAUUGGCCGCAGGGGUAGGAUAAUUUCUCACUGUGCGGGAGUCACAUAGCACACACCCCGCCUCCCUCUCACCCCGCAACCACCAUCAUUGUGAAAUCCAAAACAUGCACACACAUUUCCAUAUGUCUCUGGCCAAGAUCUGUAAAACUCAAAAAGUUUGUAAACUUACAAACCCAAAGCCUUUUCUCUCCAGAUCGUUGUCUAUAAAAUACCUUUGAAAAACAAAAAAUCAACUUUACUGCUUGCAGCCACCCUCCUUCAGGCAAUGUGCAUCUCCCAAAUUGCCUAAAUGAGAUGUGUAUCUGUGACAAGGAGGUGUGGGUGAAAAACAAACUGUUUAAUACUUGAAAAGGUUUGAAGUGAAAAAAAUUUUUUUAAAUCAUCUUUAAUGCUCUCCAUUUUCCAGUAAAGCUGAGGUCAGGCCAUCUGCCAACUGAAGGUGGGGAAGGAACUGUGGAGACUGGAGGAGAGGAAAGAAGAUGUGAAAUACUCAUCUCAGAGUGGGGAAGAAUGCUUCUUAGAUGGAGCCCGUCAGCUCAGCUGUGUGAUUUUCUCCAGCGGUUGUUCAGCAUCCUAGCAUCCUCAAGUUCACCCCAUGGUCCAGGAUGGCCGCCAUCACAUCCAUGUGCCAGGAGGCAUCUAAAGGCAGGGAGAAAAGGCAAAAUGUUGUACCUUCUAGGAGUGACAACGGAGCCCAAUUAUGCAGAGUUUCUUUUAAUAAUGGAGCAGAAUGUGACUACUUUUCAGAGGCACAGCCAGCCAGCAGCCACUGUCACCUUUUCUAUCCAACAAAAGGAGAAAUUCAUCCACUCCUGCAUCUGUCCAGACAGCCACUCAGCAUCUACUGAACUAUGUACCAG